rnacentral:tRNA from 1 species
UUAGAUUUAGGUUAAGGUUAAACUGUUAGUUUUCAAAGCUAAAUAUUUUUAAGUCUAAG